CAUGUUCUGACUAUUCUUUACACUAUUUUAUCACACUAUCAAGAUUGACAAUCGUUUUGUCUUCUAUUGUUUGAUCUUAACACUAUACUAAUAUAAGAUUAGAUUUUUUGAUAAUUAAUACCUGUAUAUGCAAUUUUUUGACUACUACCUUCUGUCUUAUAUAAUCUAAUAUAUUGCUCAAAAGUAUUUGGGAUCGACAUCUAUCAAGUGAUAAAGAUAUA
rnacentral:lncRNA from 1 species